GCUUACGACCACACCAGCCUGAGUACGCCUGAUCUCGUCUGAUCUCAGAAGCUAAGCAGGGUCAGGGCCUGGUUAGUACUUGGAUGGGAGACAGCCUGGGAAUACCAGGUGCUGUAAACU
rnacentral:rRNA from 1 species